AGUGAACGCUGGCGGCGUGCUUAACACAUGCAAGUCGAACGAGAACGGAUUAUAGCUUGCUAUAAUUGUCAGCUAAGUGGCGCACGGGUGAGUAAUGUAUAGGUAAUAUGCCUCUUACUAAGGGAUAACAAAUGAAAACGUUUGCUAAUACCUUAUACUCCUUAUUAACAGAAGUUAAUAAGGGAAAGAUUUAUUGGUAAGAGAUUAGCCUGUAUUGUAUCAGUUAGUUGGUGGGGUAAUGGCCUACCAAGACUAUGACACAUAACUGGUUUGAGAGGAUGAUCAGUCACACUGGAACUGAGACACGGUCCAGACUCCUACGGGAGGCAGCAGUGGGGAAUAUUGCACAAUGGACGGAAGUCUGAUGCAGCAACGCCGCGUGGAGGAUGACACAUUUCGGUGCGUAAACUCCUUUUAUAUGAGAAGAUAAUGACGGUAUUAUAUGAAUAAGCACCGGCUAACUCCGUGCCAGCCGCCGCCGUAA
rnacentral:rRNA from 1 species